rnacentral:rRNA from 1 species
GACGAACGCUGGCGGCGUGCUUAACACAUGCAAGUCGAACGGAAAGGCCCUGCUUUUGUGGGGUGCUCGAGUGGCGAACGGGUGAGUAACACGUGAGUAACCUUCCCUUGACUUUGGGAUAACUUCAGGAAACUGGGGCUAAUACCGGAUAGGAGCUCCUGCUGCAUGGUGGGGGUUGGAAAGUUUCGGCGGUUGGGGAUGGACUCGCGGCUUAUCAGCUUGUUGGUGGGGUAGUGGCUUACCAAGGCUUUGACGGGUAGCCGGCCUGAGAGGGUGACCGGCCACAUUGGGACUGCGAUACGGCCCAGACUACUACGGGAGGCAGCAGUGGGGAAUAUUGCACAAUGGGCGGAAGCCUGAUGCAGCAACGCCGCGUGCGGGAUGACGGCCUUCGGGUUGUAAACCGCUUUCGCCUGUGACGAAGCGUGAGUGACGGUAAUGGGUAAAGAAGCACCGGCUAACUACGUG